rnacentral:rRNA from 1 species
CCUACGGGUGGCUGCAGUGAGGAAUUUUGCGCAAUGGACGAAAGUCUGACGCAGCGACGCCGCGUGUGGGAUGAAGGGGCUACGCCCUGUAAACCACUGUUAGAUGUGAAAAAAAGAUGGCCUUGCCGUCCGGGAUUGUAGCAUCAGAGGAAGGACCGGCUAACUACGUGCCAGCAGCCGCGGUAAUACGUAGGGUCCGAGCGUUGUCCGGAAUUACUGGGUAUAAAGGGUGCGUAGGCGGGCUUUUACGUCAAGGGUUAAAGACUUCAGCUCAA